rnacentral:rRNA from 1 species
AUUGAACGCUGGCGGAAUGCUUUACACAUGCAAGUCGAGCGGCAGCGCGGGGCAACCUGGCGGCGAGCGGCGAACGGGUGAGUAAUACAUCGGAACGUACCCAGUUGUGGGGGAUAGCCCGGCGAAAGCCGGAUUAAUACCGCAUACGACCUGAGGGUGAAAGGGGGGGAUCGCAAGACCUCUCGCAGUUGGAGCGGCCGAUGGCGGAUUAGCUAGUUGGUAGGGUAAAGGCCUACCAAGGCGACGAUCCGUAGCGGGUCUGAGAGGACGACCCGCCACACUGGAACUGGGACACGGUCCAGACUCCUACGGGAGGCAGCAGUGGGGAAUUUUGGACAAUGGGCGAAAGCCUGAUCCAGCAAUACCGCGUGUGUGAAGAAGGCCUGAGGGUUGUAAAGCACUUUCAAUAGGAAGGAAUACCUAUCGGUUAAUACCCGGUAGACUGACAUUACCUAUACAAGAAGCACCGGCUAACUCCGUGCCAGCCGCCGCAGUAAGAC